rnacentral:rRNA from 1 species
CAGUAGCCGCGGGAAAACGGAGGAUCCAAGCGUUAUCCGGAAUCAUUGGGUUUAAAGGGUCCGUAGGCGGUCUUGUAAGUCAGUGGUGAAAGCCCAUCGCUCAACGGUGGAACGGCCAUUGAUACUGCAGGACUUGAAUUAUUGGGAAGUAACUAGAAUAUGUAGUGUAGCGGUGAAAUGCUUAGAGAUUACAUGGAAUACCAAUUGCGAAGGCAGGUUACUACCAAUUGAUUGACGCUGAUGGACGAAAGCGUGGGUAGCGAACAGGAUUAGAUACCCGCGUAGUCCCUGUCUCUUAUAA